rnacentral:lncRNA from 1 species
AAUGGGGACACCAGGGGACAAUGGGGACAUUGGGGUGGCACAGGGAUAUUUGGGACAGAAGGGACACUGGGGACAAUGGGGGCAAUGGGGACAUUGAGGACACCGGGCACACGGGGACUUCCUGCGGCACGAGCGCCAGCGCUGCCUGACCUACGUGCAGGCGCUGGGGGCGUGGCUGGGCGGGGACAGCGGCGACAGCGCCACCCUCGGCGACAGCGCCAGCGCCGAGUGUCCCCCUGUCCCCGCGCCGCUCACCAAGUGCCACUCGAGCCCCUCGCUGGUGACAGAGCCACCCCCGGGCCGCGUGCGCCGCCACAUCUCGGAGCGCCGGGCCACGCGUGUCAUUGUCCCCAAAUGCCACCAGGACCAACUGUGACACCGUGGGAGUGUCACCAGGAGUGUCCCCAAGUGCCACCGGGACCAACUGUGACACCCCCAUGGGGACCCCGCCACAAAGUGCCACCCCCUGGGACAAGGGGACAUUCCCAAGUGCCACCCCUGUGACAGGGACAGUCCCCAAAGUGCCACCCCUGUGACAGGGACAGUCCCCAAUGUCCCCUCUGUGGGACAAGGGACACUUUAAGUGCCACCUCUGUGACAGGGACAUCCCCAAGUGCCACCCCCAGGACAGGGACACUCCCAAUGUCCCCAAUGCUGUCCCCAAUGUCCCCUCCCCCCCCCGGUACGAGGAUCCCCCCCAGGAUUGGGAACAACUCAGGGAAAUCCCAAAAAUCCCAAAUUCCCAAAAAUUCCCAAACUUCCCAAAAAUCCCCCAAAAAUUCCCCGUUCCCAAAAAAUCCCAAUCCCCAAAAUUCCCCCCAAAAUUCCCCGUUCCCCAAAAAUCCCAAAUUCCCAAAAAAUCCCAAUCCCCAAAAUUCCCAAUCCCGAAGGAAUUUGGGGCAGAAUUUGGGAUUUCUGGAGGGAAUUUGGGAUUUUUGGGAUGAAAUUUGGGAUCCCCUCGCUGUGGUUGUGCAAUAAAGGUUCGGAAUUCCGGGAUUUUGGAGAAUUU